rnacentral:rRNA from 1 species
UACGUAGGGGGCGAGCGUUUGUCCGGAAUUAUUGGGCGUAAAGAGCUCGUAGGCGGUCUGUCGCGUCGGUCGUGAAAACUUGGGGCUUAACCCUGAGCUUGCGGUCGAUACGGGCAUGACUGGAGUUCGGUAGGGGAGACUGGAAUUCCUGGUGUAGCGGUGAAAUGCGCAGAUAUCAGGAGGAACACCGGUGGCGAAGGCGGGUCUCUGGGCCGAUACUGACGCUGAGGAGCGAAAGCGUGGGGAGCGAACAGG